ensembl:lncRNA
UUUUUUUUUUUUUUUUAGUGGAUUCCUUAGGAUUUCCUAUAUACAAGAUCCUGUUAUUGGCAAAUAAGGGUGUUUUUACUUCUUCUUUUCUGAUCUGGACGCCUUCUAUUUUUCUUUUCCUGCCUAAUUGCCCUGGCUAGGGCCUCCAGUACAAUGUCCAACAGAGUGGCAAGAAUGGGCCCCCGCUGUCUUGUUCCUGACCUUUCAUCAUCAAAUAUCAUGCUUACUGUGUGAUUUUUGUGUCUUUCAUCAGGUGAGGGAAGCUCCCUUGUAUUCCUAGUUUGUUGUGCGUUUUUAUCAUGAACAGGUGAAUUUUGUCAAAUACUUUUCUGUAUCUAUUGGAGGAUCAGAUGGUUUUGUCCUUUGUUCUCUUAAUAUGUUGCAUUACAUCAAUUGAUUUUUGAAUGUGAAACCAACCUCACAUUCUUGGGAUAAAUCCCAUUGAUCAUGGUGUGUAAUCUCUUUCCUAUGUUGUUGGAUUUGAUUUGCCAGUAUUUUGUUGAGGAUUUUUUUUUUGUAUCUGUAUUUGUAAGAAAUAUUGGUCUGUAGUUUUCUUAUAUCUCUUUCUGCUUUUGGCAUCAGGGUAAUGCUGGCCUCCUAGAGUGAUUUGGCAAGUAUUUCCUAUUGAUAUUUUUUGGAAGAGUUUGGGAAAAACUGGUAUUAGUUCUUCUUUGACUGUUUGGUAAAAUUCAUCAGGGAAGCCAUCUGGACCUGGUUUUGUGGACAAUUUUUCAAUUAUGAAUUAUAUCUCUUUUUAGUUUUAGUUCUAUUAAGUCUUGUGAUGUCUUCAUUCUGUUUCAGUAAUUUGUGUGUUUCUAGGAAUUUGUCCAUUUCGUGUCUAGUCUGUUGGCAUGUGGUUGUUCAUAGAGUUCCCUCAGAAUCCCUUUUAUUUCUCUAGGGUAGGUAUGAUAUCCUCUCUUUCAUUCCUGAUUUUAGCACUUUGAGUCCUUUCAUUUUCUCUGUCACUCUUACUAGAUGUUUGCCAAUUUUGUUGAUCUUUUCAAAACAUCAACUUUUUGUUUUGCUGUUUUUUUUUCUAUUCUUAUUUAUUUCUGUUCUAACAUUUUAUUCCUUCUACUUGCUUUGGGUUUAAUUUGCCCUUUUUCUGGCUUCUCAAAGUAGAUCGGGCUAUUGACUUGAGGUCUUCUUUUAUAAUACAAGCACGUACAAGCAGAAAUUUCCCUGUAAGCAUCGCUUUAGCUGAAUCCUCUAAGUGACUGUGUGUUGUGCUUUCAUUUUCAUUUCAUUCAGUAGCUUCUAAUUCCCUUUGUGAUUCUUUUCUUUGAUCCAUUUGUUCUUUAGCAAUGUGUUGUUUAAUUUCCACUUACUUGUGAAUUUUCCAAUUUUUCUUCUGCUACUGAUUUCUAAUUUAAUUACAUCAUGGUCAGAGAAUAUCCUUUGUAUGAUUUCAAACUUUUUGAAUUUAUUGAGCCUUGUUUUGUGACUUAGCAUAUAUUCUACCCUGGGAAGCAUUCCCUGUGCUUGAGAAGCACGUGUCAUAGUGUGUACCUGAGCUGGGAAGGGCUUGGUGCCGACUAGAACAGAGGGAGGGGAGGCUCAGUAC